rnacentral:tRNA from 1 species
GUCAGGAUGGCCGAGUGGUCUAAGGCGCCAGACUCAAGGCGAACUGCCUUCCGCAAAGCAGCGGGUAUUCUGGUCUCCGAAUGGAGGCGUGGGUUCGAAUCCCACUUCUGACA